rnacentral:rRNA from 1 species
AUGCGGACCCUCUUCUGGAACAUCCGCGGUUUCGGCCAAGAUGGUCGGCACCGCCAACUAAUAGAGUACAUGCGAACCGAACGAAUUGACAUUGUGGCCAUUCAAGAAACGAUGCGUAUGGAAUUUUCCUUGUCGGAGCUCGAGCAUUUGAGCUCCGACCUAUUUGCUUGGCACUGGCUCCCUUCUAGUGGGAGUACGGGCCACUCGAGUCGCAUCCACCUAGGGUGA